GGACCAGCAGGAAUCAAAACUUGAUCACACUGAUAAAUUUAAGUUCUUCGAUAAGGCUGCUACACUUGCUGAUCCAAGCGAACUGAAUGAAAAUGGCAUGCCUAGAAAUUCUUGGAGAUUAUGUAGUGUGCAUCAGGUGGAACAGCUAAAACUGCUGCUAGGAGUAGUGCCAGUUUGGUUUACAGGAAUUUGUUGUUUUAUUACCAUGGACCAAAUGAGUACUUUUGGGUUGAUGCAAGCAAUUUAAUCAAACAACUCCAUAGGCAAUUUCAAAAUUCCACCAGGCUGGAUGGGCCUCAGUUCGAUGAUUGCCCUUUCAAUCUGGAUCUUCAUUUAUGAGAAAAUUUACCUGGUUCAAGCAAAUAAAAGUUCUAAGAAAGACAAAAGAUUGACGAUGAGACAGAGAAUCAACAUUGGUAUUAUAAUGGCAAUUCUAUGUAUGUUGGUAGCUGCAGGUGUUGAGAAGAAGCGCCGGGACUUGGCUUUGAAAAAUGGCUCCCUCGUGUCACCUAUGCAUAUUCUGGUGCUCAUUCCACAGUUUGCCUUGUCGGGUUUAAACGAAGCAUUCACUGCGGUUGCUGUUAUGGAAUUCUUUAGCACUCAUUUGCCAGAAAGCAUGAGAACAAUUGCUGGGGCAAUCUUCUUUCUCAGCCUGUCUGCAGCUAGUUACCUGAACACAGCUUUUGUCAAUUUAGUCCAUCAUUUGACAGGGAGGAAUGGAAAAUCACCAUGGUUGGGAGGCCAUGAUCUUAAUAAAAUUAGAGUGGAGAACUAUUACUACCUUACUGCUGGUCUAGCAGCUUUGAAUCUCCUAUAUUUCAAUCUUUUUUCAUACCGUUAUGUGAAGAACAAUGCUGAUGUACCCGAAUCAUCAAGACGAGGAAAAUGAUUUAGAGAAUAC
rnacentral:misc_RNA from 1 species